AACGAACGCUGGCGGCAGGCUUAACACAUGCCAGUCGAGCGCCCCGCAAGGGGAGCGGCAGACGGGUGAGUACCGCGUGGGAACGUACCUUUUGGUUCGGAACAACUCCGGGACACUGGAGCUAAUACCGGAUAAGCCCUAACGGGGAAAGAUUUAUCGCCGAAAGAUCGGCCCGCGUCUGAUUAGCUAGUUGGUGAGGUAACGGCUCACCAAGGCGACGAUCAGUAGCUGGUCUGAGAGGAUGAUCAGCCACACUGGGACUGAGACACGGCCCAGACUCCUACGGGAGGCAGCAGUGGGGAAUAUUGGACAAUGGGCGCAAGCCUGAUCCAGCCAUGCCGCGUGAGUGAUGAAGGCCUUAGGGUUGUAAAGCUCUUUUGUCCGGGAAGAUAAUGACUGUACCGGAAGAAUAAGCCCCGGCUAACUUCGUG
rnacentral:rRNA from 1 species